rnacentral:rRNA from 1 species
GAUCAUGGCUCAGAUUGAACGCUGGCGGCAUGCCUUACACAUGCAAGUCGAACGGCAGCGCGGACUUCGGUCUGGCGGCGAGUGGCGAACGGGUGAGUAAUACAUCGGAACGUACCCUGUUGUGGGGGAUAACUAGUCGAAAGAUUAGCUAAUACCGCAUACGACCUGAGGGUGAAAGUGGGGGACCGCAAGGCCUCACGCAGCAGGAGCGGCCGAUGUCUGAGUAGCUAGUUGGG